UACAGAGGUCCCAAGCGUUGUUCGGAUUCACUGGGCGUAAAGGGUGCGUAGGUGGUAGGGUAAGUCGGAUGUGAAAUCUCCGAGCUCAACUCGGAAAUGGCAUUGGAAACUACCCUGCUAGAGGGUCGGAGGGGGGACUGGAAUACUUGGUGUAGCAGUGAAAUGCGUAGAGAUCGGGAGGAACAUCUGUGGCGAAGGCGACUGCCUGGACCAGCACUGACACUGAGGCACGAAAGCGUGGGGAGCAAACAGG
rnacentral:rRNA from 1 species